AAAAUGCACUAAGACUUUUAGG
rnacentral:miRNA from 1 species